CAGCCGCCGCGGUAAUACCGGCAGCACGAGUGAUAGCCACUAUUAUUGGGCCUAAAGCGUCCGUAGCCGGCUACACAGGUCCGUCGGGAAAUCCACCCGCUCAACGGGUGGGCGUCCGGCGGAAACCAGGUAGCUUGGGGCCGGAAGACCAGAGGGGUACGUCCGGGGUAGGAGUGAAAUCCUGUAAUCCUGGACGGACCAUCGGUUGCGAAAGCGCCUCUGGAGGACGGACCCGACGGUGAGGGACGAAAGCUUGGGUCUCGAACCGGAUUAGAUACCCGGAUAGUCCAAGCUGUAAACGAUGCUCGCUAGGUGCGGCGCAGGCUACGAGCCUGCGCUGUGCCGUAGGGAAGCCGAGAAGCGAGCCGCCUGGGAAGUACGUCCGCAAGGAUGAAACUUAAAGGAAUUGGCGGGGGAGCAC
rnacentral:rRNA from 1 species